AGAGCGAACGCUGGCGGCGUGCUUAACACAUGCAAGUCGAACGAGGUCUGUAGCAAUACAGAUACUCGUGGCGAACGGGUGCGUAACACGUGGAUAACCUUCCUUCAGGUGGGGAAUAACCCAGUGAAAAUUGGGCUAAUACCGCAUAACAUGACGAUGCCACAUGGUGUUGUCUUCAAAGGCGCAAGUCGCCAGAAGAGGGAUCCGCGGCCGAUUAGCUAGUUGGCGAGGUAAUGGCUCACCAAGGCAAUGAUCGGUAGCCGGACUGAGAGGUUGGCCGGCCACACUGGAACUGAGACACGGUCCAGACUCCUACGGGAGGCAGCAGUGGGGAAUCUUGCACAAUGGACGAAAGUCUGAUGCAGCAACGCCGCGUGGGGGAUGAAGCUUUUCGGAGUGUAAACCCCUUUCGACCCGGAAGAAAGCCCGCAAGGGUUUGACGGUACGGGUAUAAGAAGCCCGGCUAACUACGUGCCAGCAGCCGCGGU
rnacentral:rRNA from 1 species